AUGGUCAUGACCUUAGGGCUUUUAUUCUACACUCUCUUUACCUUUAGGUACCAAAAUAUCUUCAAAAAGUAAGAAAGAUUUUCCAUUUUCACAAAAAUUAAAGAAUAAGUUGGAGGUUUGAUCAUGGGGACUUGUAGUUGCUUUUUUGGGUCUACUAAUGAGGGUUGAAGAACAUUUAUCAUAUAUUUAAAUUUUUCUGGUUUGGAUAGCAGAUUAUGGCUUUGGAGUUUUCAAAGUUGUAAUAUAAGGAAGCAGAGAUUCGGGUAUGAAAGUUGUAGUAUGGAGAUGGAGGAGAUUCGAACUGAUGAGUGCAAGUUUCCAAGAAUGAGCAACAAGGAAGAUGAGCAGUACCAACAAUAUGAUGUAGAUGAUGUAGGAGAAGUCAAAAAGAGUAGCGGACUUGGUGGGAUUGUAAAGUUUUAUGGUCGGCCUUCAUCAAGAAUAGUUAGAGUUUCUCGUGCAUCUGGAGGGAAAGAUAGGCAUAGCAAAGUAUUGACUUCAAAGGGGUUAAGAGAUAGACGUGUUCGCCUUUCUGUCAAUACUGCUAUACAGUUCUAUGAUUUGCAAGACCGUCUCGGCUGUGAUCAGCCCAGCAAGGCUGUCGAAUGGCUGCUAAAAGCGGCCGCUCCUUCUAUUGCUGAGCUUCCACCUCUUGAGGCAUUUCCAGACACACUGCAGCUGAGUGAUGAGAAAAAGUCAAGUGAGCAGGGUUUUGAUUCAGCUGAUGUGGAAAUGGAUGAUGAUCUUCAUUAUAAUCAGCAGCAACAACCUUGUUGUAGCAAUUCAGAGACUAGCAAGGGUUCUGGAUUGUCACUUUCCAGAUCUGAUAGUCGGCUCAAGGCAAGGGAGCGAGCAAAGGAAAGGGCCACAGAGAAAGAAAAGGAAAAAGAAAACAAGUCUUGUAUUGUUGGUCAACACCACCAAAACAUGCACCCUGGCUCGUCUUUCACUGAGCUAUUGACGGGUGGUAUGAGCGAUAACAACACGAGUCCUAAUGGUGGGUCCAUCCACCAAAAUACAGCAAGGCAAUGGUCUACAAAUCCGUUGGAGUAUUUUACAUCAGGAUUACUAGGCCCAUCAGCUACUCGUGGAAUAGACAACCAAAUAUAUUUGGGAAAUCCUCUACAGCCAUUAAGACCAAUGUUUAGUAUUACGGGUGAGCAUAGAGCGGAGCUGCAGAAUUUCCCAUUUGGUGGUGACAACCUAGUUCCGGGUGUUACCUCUAGUAAUACUAGUACUAAUUAUAACGAGUACAAUUUGAACUUCAGCAUUUCUUCUUCAUCAUCAU
rnacentral:misc_RNA from 1 species